AAAGGAUUCGAUUGAGCUGAAAUUUGGUAUCUGGGGGUUUUUGACAUUUUGAUCCAAUGGCAGUGGUCUAAUUUUUUAUUGAGACCUAGAAAAUAGGGCUGUAGUUAGAUGGCCCAUUUUCAGCAUGAUAGGAACUAGAUUUGAAGAUCGAGUUUCGUUAAAAUCGGCUCAAAAUUUGUCAAAAUGCGAUGAAACUAUAUGGGUGUCCUUAGGGCAUCCAAAACUACCAUCUCAUGCAAUUUGAGGCCAUUCUGAGAUUUUCUUUAAGGUCAUCCAAUAUCAGGAUUAUUUCUACAUUGUUGGUGUAGUAGUGUUUUGGCAGCAGCAGGAACUAGUUACUACUGGCUCUCCCCUUAUGUAUCUCGGGAACACAAGUACAUCAAAAAUGAUGUAUAACAUAAGUCAAGACACUUAAUCGUCUCAGUUUUGAUAUUCAUACUAUGAAGACUUGCGUGAUCUUCUCGGGCUAUCCAUCGACUUCUGGGUUGUACCUCCUUUCAUGAACUAACCGUGCUCAAAUUCUUUAUGAAGAAGACGAUGAAGGAUCUCAUAGAUUUCAGUGUUCCAGGUAUUGAUUUACUUCAAGGGGAAAUGGAAGGUCUAGCUCAGCAUGCCAAAGAGGUUUUAGAGGUGGACCUGAUUUCGAUUGAAAAUAAUCCAUCUAUUGCACCCUUCUUAGAUUCUUUUCUAGGUAGCUGUUUAUUCUGAAUUACACCGAGGUGGUUCUGGAGGAGCUUAGAUCUGAUUUGCUCGUUCAACAGUUGGCCCACCCAAGUUUUCAAAUAUCUCCUUCGAAGGGGCAUUCAAUCAUCACUCGGAUUGCACUUCUUGAAAAUUAGAGCGACAUGGCCACUCUCAAAUGACAUAUACAUGAGACGGAAGACCUGAUGAUCUCGGCUCGUAGGGAAAUGAGGGACCCACUGUCAUCAAAGCUUGAUCAUGGGGAGUAUCCUCCUUUGGUCAAAUGGUCGGUCAUCUCAAGGUUGCAAUAUUAACAGAUAAGCUGAAGAAAGUGCAACGGGCUUUCACCAAUCUUGGUCACAGGAAGGAGUAGUUCAUUGAUAAUCUCUUCUCUUCGAAGCAAACAAUAUGGCCUUAGCUUUCUUCUUUUUUAAGUAUAUGAAAGGCAUUAUGUUAUAGCCAUGCAGUUCUGCUUGUUUAUUUCAUCUUCUGUUUGGAGGUAAAUGCUUUUGUAUCCAGAGGGCAUAAGCUUGCAACUUGUGGUCUCCAUUUUGUUAGUUGCUUAUCUCGUAUGUCUCAUAUUCGCCUCAAUUGAUGACUCUUUGCUUCUUUCUUUCGUCUUUGUCUUGUUUGCCUUUCUGCUUUAUGGUGUGCAUCUGUCUUUCAUCAUUUCACGACCGGCCUUUGUCUCCUCAGAAAGGGGGUAAGAGAAGAAUUUGGAGCCCUCUUCACACGAAAGCAUGUUUGGUCUCCAUCAUGCAUGACUUAAAAGCCCUUUCGGGUUUUCAUCCAAGACCUUAGGGUAUGUGUUAUUUCUGGUUUUCACAAAAACCCUGUCAGUAAUUUUUUUUUGUUAUGCCGCUUUUGGUCAUGGUUUUUACACCAUGUCUUCCUUUUUACAUUUUUACUCAUGAUGCCCUUGCAGGUUUUCACCGUGCCCAUUUUUUUUUUCUUUAUUCUUUACAUAUUUUACUCGUAAUAGUGAAUGAUACUAUUACACCCAUCAUUUUUUCUUUUCCUUUUUUUUUUCUUCCUUUUCUUUUGACUCUUUUACCGAUGACGCCCUUUCGGGUUUUCAUCAUGUCCGUCUUUUUGAAGAGGCGGUUUUAAGGUCAUGCCACUAUGAUCAUAGGGAGUCGUGUUUAUGGUCAUGCCAUCAUGACCGUCGAGUUGGUGUAUGUUAAGGUCAUUCACCAAAACCAAUGGAGGCAAGUUUAAGGUCAUGCCUUCGAGACCAUGUGUUAUGCAGUUUAACGUCAUGCCAUCAGGAUGUGUGCGGCUUUAGGGUAUAGCUUGAACUGAUGCCAUGCAGUUUAGGGCCUUGCGGCUUUGGUCGUGGUCUAUGCAUAAUACUUCAUUAAAUAUCUCUCAUUGAUUGGGGGCAUAGCUUCCUCUCCUUCAGAAUCGACUAGUAUAUAAGCUCCAUUAGGAAAAGCUUUCUUUAUGACGAAUGACCCCUCCCAAGACGCAUGUUUUGGUGAGUGGCAAGCACGAUGGGGAUCCCCAGAUAAAGAGAAAUCCUAAAGAUAAAGUUGACUGGAAAUAUGAAAUUACAUAAUUUUAUAUGCAGCAUAUGUCGCCACUCCGGCAACCAAAUCUCAAGAUUUAAAAGUGUUGCAAUCUCAAGGCUAUAUCCGUUACGAUCGUAACUCAGAGGGCUUCUUUUUGACAUAUUAUUUGCUCAAAAUAGAGGCCGAGAAGACACCAUAUUAUUAAAAGCUCGCAAGAAGGCACAUUUUUCGGAUUGUCGGAAUUCCAUUAUCUGACGACCUCGAUAAAUGAAAAAGUACCCAAACAUGCUCCAACUCAAGGGAUUUUCAAUGCAAAACAAUCACAAUGACUUCCCUUUUGAUUUGUGAUAGAAAAGAAGAGAAAAAACACGAUGUGGCAUGCUAGAUCGAAGAUUGAAAAUAUCAAGUUUGUGGGUUUGGUCAAAUCUUUGAUACCACAAACAAAAGUUCGAUUCAAGUAUCAAAUCUUAUAUCAAAACAAUCACCUCGAGAUGAUCUACACUUCUACAGCAUUGGAUCGCUCAGAACGUCGCCUGAACAUGCCAAAAAUGGACCUGAACCAUGCGAAAGGCAAAGGCCCCUUUUGGAGGGAUAGACUUGUCAUUUCCACAUUUCUAGGUAGGUUCAAAAUAGUCAUUUUUACCUAAAAACGGGAUUUUAUUUUUAUUCAUUUUAAAUGUAAUAUUAAUCAAUUAGGUUAACUUGGCAUCUACCAAUGUUUAUGGAUGACUCUAUAUAAGCCUAGGGCUUCUUUUUGUAAGGAGGUUAAAGCAUUUUAUCAAAGGUUGCCCAUUAAGAAGUUGCUUUUGUGCUUGUUGCGUACCAAAGGGCGAAGAGAGGGAAUAUUUUACGCUUGAGAGAACUACCCUUGGAUUACCAACCUGAACCCAGUAGACCAUACUCCCCACUUACCCUCAUCUUAGUCCAUAGACUAUCAAAAACUCAUACACCUCAAGCCAUACACCACAAUCCAUACACCAAAACCCAAAGACUACCCCAACCCAUACACCAUAUCCCAUACACCCCAACCUAUGCACCAAAAUAUAUACUCCACAACCCAUGCACCAAAACCCAUAGACUACCAAAACCAUAGACUAACAAAGGCCCAUAGACCCCAACCCAUAAACCAAACCUCAUACACCAAAACCACAUAGACUACUAACGCCCAUAGACCACCAAAGACCCAUACAUACCAUACUCCAUACACCCUCAGCCUUCCCUUCCCUAAACCUUCCACUCUCUCUUAAGGAGCUUGCAAGAACCAAUGGGAGCACACCUAGCCACCCAACUCAAACCACUGGUUCACCCCUAAGUACCUAGUCCAUUUCUCUCUUCAGAGGCAUAUUUAGUGUCAGGUUCGACCUGUCCAUAUCUCAUGACCUUAAGAAUCCUCCAGGGUACUUAAGCCUUGAGCUUAAUACCUUUUCAGUAACGCUCCCAGUGAUACCUCCCUUGAGGAGGUAACGUCGGAAGGCUACCAGAUUGGUAAGUGAUCCUCUUCUCUCUUCUAUCUUUUCUCUCUUCUAUCUUUUCUCUCUUCUCCUCACUCUCCUUCUUCUUUUCUGUUCUCUCCCCUCCCCUCACUUUCUUUCAUACUUAUUCCUCUCUUCCAUUAUCUUGACCACUCUUUAGAAGGCUCUUCUGAGGCGUAUUUAGUGUCGGGUUCACCCUGUCCAUAUCUAACGACCUUAAGAAUCCUCUGGGGUACUUACGCCCUGUGCCUAAUACCUUUUGAGUAGGUCCCUGAUAAUACCUCUUAGGGGAGGUAACACAAGAAGACUGCUGGAUUUUUUAGUGGUAUUUUCGUCUUCUGUCUCUUGUCUCUUUAUCUCUACCUCUCACUUAUUCUUCUCUUUCGCCAUUCCCCUAUCUAAUCCUAAACUCAACCCUCUUCAAACCUCCUAAAACCAUCCCUAAACCUAUCGCCUCAAAACCACCAUCUAACAGCAAACCAAGGAGGUAGGGUCCAAACUUAGCCGAGAGGCCGGGGAGCUUUCCUCGGGUGUGUCCCGACCCCACCGCACGAGGUAGGUACCGACUUGUCACCUAAAUCUUUCUUUUUUCAUUGGUUCAUGCCACACUCGUGGCCCCCACAUACGCAGGCACACGGUUUUCAAGAAAGGGUUCUCAGGCCGGACUCCCACCUGGUCCCCAACCGUGACGAGAACCAAGGCCGGUCAACUAUUUAUGAGUACUAUUCACACAUUACUAUUUACAGUAACUAUUGUUCACAUGUUACUGCUCACAAGGGUAUUUUUAGAAUUUUAGUAUUAUUAUAGGGGUAUUUUAGAGUCUUAAAUGUUUACUUGGAUCUCAAGUUCAAUUAGGGAUUCAUAGACUUAUAAAAGGUUGGAUGCUAUAUUUUGGGAGAUAUGGGAAUGAAAUUUAUUUUAUGAAAAAAGAAAGUUCUUCUCGGCUUGAUUUACAGCUAACUUUAUCAUCUGUGAUUACUAAUUUUACUUGUUUAAAGUUCAGACAAAGGCUUUCCCACCUUCCCUUCUUGCAUCACCCUUUCAUAGUGAAACUGUAAUUGUAGUGGAUGUUGAGAAUUUUAGAUGAAUUUUCUGGUCUCUAAUUAGAACAUGAAACAAGUGAAGAAUUCUAGAAAGCUAUAAUGGAGUGUAGAGUUCUCUUGAAUUACAUGUAGUGUUACCAUACCUACACAUCCCUAGGAAUUUAGUAAGAAGCCAUUAGAAGUUUUUAACAUACUAGUCAAGUAAGCGUAAGAAAACAUCUGAUGUAUACCAUUGGAGUAACAUAAGAGAUUGAGGGAUGUAGCGACCAUAGUAGCUGCCAAAAGUCAAGAACCAGUAGAAGGUCAACAUGACCAAUGUCUAGUCAUGAGGGUGAAGCCUCGACACAACGCUGUCUCACAAACUGACAUGCCGAUGAAUUUAUUGGGAAUUAUUAGGCAAACAGUUUACCUAAAGACAUAAAGACUAUUUUGGAUGAUUUUGGGAGGUAAUAUUGAGGCAAUGUCUCCAUAAAAAGAAUAGCUUUUGUGCCACACCUGUGCUAGAGCAUAGUCCUCAAAGUCUAGCAAAAGGAACUCAAAUGCAGUUUUUAAUAGAAAAAGUGGAUAAAAAUGACUAGGAUGAUAUGUUACAAAGCUAAGUUAGGAGGCAAAACAGAUGGUUAUGAGUUAGAGAGGGCUCAAAUAUAAAUUUGGAAUUUAUUGUGUGCUUUCAAAGAGAGGUAAUCCUAUAUGAUUAUGCCCCGUGGAUUGGAUAAUGGAUAAUUGUUCUCUUCUCUCAUUCCUAUUUUUGGUUAUAAUUGUUCUCUUCUCUCAUUCCUAUUUUUGGUUAUAAUUGUUCUCUUCUCUCAUUCCUAUUUUUGGUUGUCUGGCAAGCUUGAAUUUAGUAAUGUUGCCCUUGUUUAAAAAAAGAACACAGUGGUUAUAAUUGUUCUCUACUCUGAUUCCUAUUUUUGGUUUUGUUUGGCAAGCUUGAAUUUAGUGAUGUUGCCAUUGUUUAAAAAAAUAACACAGUGGUAGGAAAGGAGGAAAUCCUGAGGAGGAAGGCUGCUAAUUGCCUUCUUUAGACACUCAUCCACCAUGUGUUUAUGAAGAUCGAUCCAAAUCAUGAAAAGCGUGGGAUCAAAGGCUUCUUUUCUUCACGACAAUGAGCAAUGAGUGCAACUUGCUUUGUUAAAUGAAUGUCAUUUUUUCACAAAAUGAUUUGGUAAUUGUUUGAGCUAUCACUCAAGAAGCCGACCUCAAAUAGUUGAGAAAAGGCCCCGACAAUAAUGAUCACUUAAGGAGAUCAUGACAAGGUAUUACCCGAAAGGAUUAGUAGAGUGCUUCUUCAAAUCCAUGAAGACAAAUGAAUCACAAUAGUAGAGGAGUCUCUAAUCUAUGUAGUUUUGUAGUUAAAGGAGGGUGAGUGACGUCCAUAAACAGAUGUCUUUAGUGUUUCUCUUGAAUGAGCAUAGAUACUAAAUAUCAAAAUACUACGGCACAAAAUUUUGAAUAAGAAUAUUCUGGAAUCUGGAUAAUGUUGCUGGCAAUGAAUUGUUA
rnacentral:lncRNA from 1 species